GACGAACGCUGGCGGCGUGCUUAACACAUGCAAGUCAAGGGGGCUCCGCAAGGGGCGAACCGGCGAACGGGUGCGUAACACGUGAGCGACCUGCCGUACCUGUGGGGGAUAGCCGGCCCAACGGCCGGGUAAUACCGCAUACGAUUGCUUUGGGGCAUCCUGGGGCAAGGAAAGCUGGGGGCAACCCUGGCGCAGGACGAGGGGCUCGCGGCCUAUCAGCUAGUUGGCGAGGUAACGGCUCACCAAGGCAGUGACGGGUAGCUGGUCUGAGAGGAUGGCCAGCCACAUUGGGACUGAGAGACGGCCCAGACUCCUACGGGAGGCAGCAGUGGGGAAUCUUGCGCAAUGGCCGAAAGGCUGACGCAGCGACGCCGCGUGUGGGAGGACGCCUCGGUGGUAAC
rnacentral:rRNA from 1 species